rnacentral:rRNA from 1 species
GGGUUUCCCCGAGGUCGCUAGCAUGCGAGUCGAGGUAGCAAUACAUGGCGUACUGCUCAGUAACACGUGGACAACCUGCCCUUAGGACGGGGAUAAACCCGGGAAACUGGGUAUAAUACCCGAUAGGUCUCAAGUGCUGGAAUGCAUCGAGAUCUAAAGCUCCGGCGCCUAAGGAUGGGUCUGCGGCCUAUCAGGUAGUAGUGGGUGUAGUGUACCUACUAGCCUACGACGGGUACGGGUUGUGAGAGCAAGAGCCCGGAGAUGGAUUCUGAGACACGAAUCCAGGCCCUACGGGGUGCAGCAGGCGCGAAAACUUUACAAUGCUGGCAACAGCGAUAAGGGAACCUCGAGUGCCAGGUUACAAAUCUGGCUGUCGUGAUGCCUAAAAAGCAUUGCAUAGCAAGGGCCGGGCAAGACCGGUGCCAGCCGCCGCGGUAACACCGGCGGCUCGAGUGGUAACCGUUAUUAUUGGGUCUAAAGGGUCUGUAGCCGGCCGGAUAAGUCUCUUGAGAAAUCUGGCAGCUUAACUGUCAGGCUUUCAGGAGAUACUGUCUGGCUCGAGGCCGGGAGAGGUGAGAGGUACUUCAGGGGUAGGGGUGAAAUCUUGUAAUCCUUGAAGGACCACCAGUGGCGAAGGCGUCUCACCAGAACGGACCUGACGGCAAGGGACGAAAGCUAGGGGCACGAACCGGAUUAGAUACCCGGGUAGUCCUAGCCGUAAACGAUACUCGCUAGGUGUCGGCCACGGUGCGACCGUUGUCGGUGCCGUAGGGAAGCCGUGAAGCGAGCCACCUGGGAAGUACGGCCGCAAGGCUGAAACUUAAAGGAAUUGGCGGGGGAGCACCACAACGGGUGGAGCUUGCGGUUUAAUUGGAGUCAACGCCGGA